CACAGGGUGUGUUGAGGGGGGGGGGGGGGUUGGCCUGAUUCAUGAUAUAGAGGCUAAUGCACAUUCGGCAAUCCUUUUCCCUCACGUGUUCUGUACAAUCAUUCUAAAACCUAUCUCUUUAACUAUGAAACCUUAAUUCCAUUCCUUUAUUUAUGCCCCUAAUGUGUGUAACGAUGGAUGAGCGGAUGUAGAUGAUGGCAUGCAAUGGUGAAGUGGUGGUGAGGAUUCAGCAGUGACUAGGGAUUCGGUCUCAGCUAUGGACGGUUGUGGUGCUAUUACCCGACGGCAAGGAAUAUUGAUGACGUGGACGAGAUAAAUGAGCAAACUGAAAACAUGAAACUGGUUCAGUACGCACUCACAACACCCAUUGGUGCAUCUGCUGAUUUUGAUGAG